rnacentral:rRNA from 1 species
AACGUAGGAGACAAACGUUAUCCGGAGUUACUGGGCGUAAAGGGCGUGUAGGUGGUUGCGUAAGUCUGGCGUGAAAUAUCUCGGCUUAACCGAGGCAGGUCGUCGGAUACUGCGUAACUGGAGGACGGUAGAGGCGUGUGGAAUUCCGGGUGUAGUGGUGAAAUGCGUAGAGAUCCGGAGGAACACCAGUGGCGAAGGCGACACGCUGGGCCGUACCUGACACUGAGAAGCGAAAGCAUGGGGAGCGAACAGG